AUUGAACGCUGGCGGCAGGCCUAACACAUGCAAGUCGAGCGGAUGACGGGAGCUUGCUCCUUGAUUCAGCGGCGGACGGGUGAGUAAUGCCUAGGAAUCUGCCUGGUAGUGGGGGACAACGUUUCGAAAGGAACGCUAAUACCGCAUACGUCCUACGGGAGAAAGCAGGGGACCUUCGGGCCUUGCGCUAUCAGAUGAGCCUAGGUCGGAUUAGCUAGUUGGUGGGGUAAUGGCUCACCAAGGCGACGAACCGUAACUGGUCUGAGAGGAUGAUCAGUCACACGGGAACUGAGACACGGUCCAGACUCCUACGGGAGGCAGCAGUGGGGAAUAUUGGACAAUGGGCGAAAGCCUGUUCCAGCCAUGCCGCGUGUGUGAAGAAGGUCUUCGGAUUGUAAAGCACUUUAAGUUGGGAGGAAGGGCAGUAAGCUAAUACCUUGCUGUUUUGACGUUACCGACAGAAUAAGCACCGGCUAACUCUGUGCCAGCCGCCGCCGUAAGAC
rnacentral:rRNA from 1 species